rnacentral:tRNA from 1 species
GCUAGCGUAGCUUAAUAUAAAGCAUAACACUGAAGAUGUUAAGAUGGGCCCUAGAAAGCCCCGUAUGCA